CUUUGACAUUUAAGAAUGGGUUUCCCAAUGAUAUAGAAGUCAUGCCUAUGGUGGAUAGUGCGGCAAUGCCAGUCAAAUCUUCAAUAUCUAGUAAUGAAAUGAAUAGUUUUACUCAUAACACAAACGUAAACGAAGUUCCAACUAAUCAAGGAACAGCAGAUGAUAGUCUUUUGCCUUCUGACUGGCGGACAAGAAGGAAAGGUAGGCGGCAGAAGAGUUCCACUAGAUCUUUUGAUGGAAAAUUUCAGCCAGUUUCAUUAGAAAAGAAUAAUGUUGAAGUUGGAAGUGUUAAUCCUAAUAUAGGGGACAAUGGAACUAGGACAUUGAGACAAUUACAGGCAGAGGAGGAUGAU
rnacentral:misc_RNA from 1 species